rnacentral:rRNA from 1 species
UUAGCUUGUUGGUGAGGUAAUGGCUCACCAAGGCGACGAUCAGUAUCUGGUUUGAGAGGACGAUCAGACACACUGGAACUGAGACACGGUCCAGACUCCUACGGGAGGCAGCAGUAGGGAAUUUUCCGCAAUGGGCGAAAGCCUGACGGAGCAAUCUCGCGUGAGGGAUGACGGCCUAUGGGUUGUAAACCUCUUUUUUCAGGGAGGAAUAACUGACGUGUACCUGAAGAAUAAGCAUCGGCUAACUCCGUGCCAGCAGCCGCGGUAAGACGGAGGAUGCAAGUGUCAUCCGGAAUCACUGGGCGUAAAGCGUCUGUAGGUGGUUUAAUAAGUCAACUGUUAAAUCUUAAAGCUUAACUUUGAAAUCGCAGUCGAAACUAUUAGACUAGAGUAUAGUAGGGGUAAAGGGAAUUUCCAGUGGAGCGGUGAAAUGCGUAGAGAUUGGAAAGAACACCGAUGGCGAAGGCACUUUACUGGGCUAUUACUAACACUCAGAGACGAAAGCUAGGGUAGCAAAUGGGAUUAGAUACCCCAGUAGUCCUAGCCGUAAACAAUGGAUACUAGAUGUUGAACAGAUCGACCUGUGCAGUAUCAAAGCUAACGCGUUAAGUAUCCCGCCUGGGAAGUAUGCUCGCAAGAGUGAAACUCAAAGGAAUUGACGGGAGCCACACAGUUCAUGGUCGACUUGUCUAUGUCCAAUUGCUGUUCACGUGGAACCUUUCUCCACUUCAGUCUUCAAAGUUCUCAUUUGAAUAUUUGCUACUACCACCAAGAUCUGCACUAAAGGCUGUUUCACUCUGGCUCACGCCACGAGCUGCACGACAACCUUCACGCCCUCCUACUCACUGACACGAAACAUUUGCAUCAGUGGUGGAGUAUAAGUGGCCCGCUUCAGCGCCAUCCAUUUUCAGGGCUAGUUCAUUCGGCAGGUGAGUUGUUACACACU